AGCAGUAUGGUGUAUGAACCACACGGGAUUUCGAUGUGUCCUCAUUCAGAAGACAGUAUUAAAUCCCGAGGUCCUUGUUCGAGUCAAGGUACUGUUC